UUCUUUGGCCAGUUAGCAUUUGCUGGUAUCAAAUUUAUUCAAAUGUAUAGUCAUUGAAGUUAGUUCUUUUUCAUUUCAUUCAUAUAUUUCUUCUUUUGUUCCCUUUCCUUUUACUUGAUACAUUCUUGGGCUAAUCAAGUGAAAUCAUUGGUCACCUUUUAGCAUGAUGCUGCAUGUAUGACUCUAUUAAUGGAUGGCAGUGUUGUUUGGGUCGUGAUUUGAGCUUUUAACUCAUGUAUUCUUAAUGGAGCAAAUUUGGGAUAAAAGGAUCAUUGAUCAUCCAACCUUUCCAGUGUUUUGGUAGUGUCGUGUGUAACCAUGCACCGUUUCUUAACAAACACUUUUGUUGUGAUCUUAACUUUCUCUGUUGCAGAACAGUCUGCAGUUUUUUUUGCACACCAUGGAGGUUUUAGAGUUUUGGGUUUUUGGA